rnacentral:rRNA from 1 species
AAAAUGACUCUCGGCAACGGAUAUCUCGGCUCUCGCAUCGAUGAAGAACGUAGCGAAAUGCGAUACUUGGUGUGAAUUGCAGAAUCCCGUGAACCAUCGAGUCUUUGAACGCAAGUUGCGCCCCAAGCCUUUAGGCCGAGGGCACGCCUGCUUGGGUGUCACAC